AAGAUCGACCCUUUAGAGAGUGAAGGUCGAUCCUUAGUGUUGGGACACUUAAAAGCAAUUUUAGAAGAGCUAGGAUUAAUCCUUUAGGGCUUGAAGGUCGAUCCUUAAUGUGUGGAAAUAGCUAGAAAAACAAUUUGCCAAGAUAGGAUCGACCCCUUGGUUUUAUAUGGUUGAUCCUUGUGAUGUCCACCUCAACAUGUUAAGUAUUUUUAAGCUUCUAAGAUUGACCCCUUUGGACAUAAAAGUUGAUCCCCACAAGUUUAUAAGCAAAACUUUACGUUGUCUGCCCAUUCAAUUGUUGAAAGUUAGUUUUUAUUUCUCUCUAGCUCGUACACUUCCAAGCUCCUCUGUGGAUCAUUGAGACACCAUACAAGCAUUUUGAAGCAUGGAAUUUAGUAACCAAGCUACUGUUCAUCUUCUCCAAGCUUGAGGAUUCUGGAGGUUUGGCUACCUAGCUUUAAUCUGACCAUCAAGAUAAGUAGCUUCUUGGGGCCUUCGUUAAGGAGUGAGUAGCCAGCUUCUGUUUGGUAGGUAUUAUGGCCUCUGAUAGUACCUUGUUUUCUACGUUGCUCUGCUGGUCCAAGUUUUGGUUUGCAUGGCUUGUCUAUAGUUGGGUUAGUUGGGCCAAGGCCCACAGUGUAUGCUAAUGUAUGGCGCUAUGUACUGGUUUAUGUAAUGUAUUUUGAUAAUACUACUGUGGUUUAAUUUGUAGCACAUGUAGUGUGAUGUUUACGUGUCGAAGCACGGGGUUACAUAAAAAGAUUUGAAUGCUAAUGUAAACAAGUUUAUGUGAAUAUAUACAUAUAUAUAGC